rnacentral:lncRNA from 10 species
AGUUAACAAAUAAUUAUUUUCUGAAGUGUCAAGAUAAAUUUGAUCUUGGGAUACUUCAGAGAACAAUUCUCAAACAACAACUUCAAACUGACAGACAGACUUCAAGGAACUAUGCAGGAUAGAUGGGUGGCCAAAUGACAAGCUUGGAAAGCUACAAGGGAGUGCUACCUGCUCCUCUCCGUCCAUUCUUUGCUCUCUACUCUGAACUCCAUGUCUUCCACCAAGGUUCACUUCACCACUGUGUCAUUAAAAUGUUCAGUACCAAUAUGCAGACUGUCCGCAAUGAUAGGUAUAAACUGUUCAAGAAGACACCCAUUUCUAGCAAAAUUUCUGACUCCUUUCAAAAUAAAAA